UCCUACGGGACGCAGCAGUGGGGAAUAUUGCACAAUGGGGGAAACCCUGAUGCAGCAACGCCGCGUGAGUGAAGAAGUAUUUCGGUAUGUAAAGCUCUAUCAGCAGGGAAGAAGAAGGACGGUACCUGACUAAGAAGCCCCGGCUAACUACGUGCCAGCAGCCGCGGUAAUACGUAGGGGGCGAGCGUUAUCCGGAUUUACUGGGUGUAAAGGGAGCGUAGACGGUUAAUCAAGUCUGAAGUGAAAGCCCGCGGCUCAACUGCGGAACGGCUUUGGAAACUGAGUAACUGGAGUGCUGGAGGGGC
rnacentral:rRNA from 1 species